AAUGCUUGAACCAGCCAGUAUUAUAGAAAAUAGUUAUGUGGUCAAAUACAUGUUUGAUUUUUGGAAGUGUGAUACAAUAGACUGCACUGUUUGUUCGUACUUUAUAAGGUUGACUGCUGCACAUAAGCUUCCUGAGUACUGGGCAGAUUUAUAGGUUUGUUCUAGCUCCUACCACGUAACGCCCAAGAUGCCCAGUUCUUGAAAAUAAAACUCGGAGGUGCAGCAAGCAUAAGAAAAACAAAAAACUAUUUGCCCAGGAUUACCAACUUCUCACCUUUUAUUAUAUUAAAAUAUAUUCACAACAAAACUUAAAUACAUAAAUAAAAGAAUUGGAGAUACAA